UGCCUGUGGGUGUUACAUAUUUUUCCCUCUUCAACUAACCGUGUCUGAGCAGGACAGCUGACCUUCAAAGUAAAUAUGAUUAAAGCUGAACAAAUCAGAGACUGGGUUUUGCUCUACUAUCUAGACUGGAGUGCAGUGGCCUGAUUAUAGCUCACUGCAGCCUCCAACUCCUGGACCCAAGUGAUCCUCCCAUAUCAGCCUCCCAAGGAGCUACAACUACAGUCUACACAGUUCCAAUAGGAGACAGACAACCAGGAUUUUGGGCCAAGAUCUAAUUUUUUGAUUGGAUUAACCCGAGAAAAUCAAAAUAUUUUUCUGUGAUGAGAGAUCUCAUUGCUAACAUACAGGACCUUAAAUAGUAUAUAAUUGAGGCGCAUCCUUUUACAGAUGCUGAAUGGAAGGAGAAAAAGUGAAAGCAACCUACAAACAUAAGCCUCUCAUAGUGGAAACUUAUUUUUAUGGGAUGUGGAUGUUGUUUUUUAAUAGGGAUUCAAGCUUCAGAUACAUGACCAAAAAUCGUUUUAAGUAAAAACAAAAAGAAAAGUGUUUUUCCAUCUCUGCACUACACAUUGGAUUUCUACACAGAAGCUGUACUUGAAGGAUCAAAGCUCAUUCCUGCAUUCCUGCAAGCAAGCAAUUUCUACAAGUGCAUCUACAGCUCCAUGACAAUCCACUUCCUCAAUGCUUCCCAUCGUCCACUGAAGUAUUAGCAUGUGAAAAAUUGCAUAUGUCAGAAAUGUAAAAAUAAUCAUGCCCACCUUGGUCUUUUCUAUUUAAUAAUUUGGGCCAUGGAUUGGUAACCUUUGUUUUGCUUACUGUGCAGUCACAAAUUACUUUUAUAGAUCAAGAGAACUUGAACUUUCAAAAGUGCUGUUUUAGCUUAAAAUGUUAUGAUUUAGAUAUUCUGUUUAUAUAAGAAGAAACUAGUGACAAAUAUAGUAAGCAUUUUUUUUUCAUUCUUCACUUAAAUGGUUGCCUUAACAUAGGGUUUUUCCUUUUAAAAUAGUAGAAAACUUACAGAAGACUGUUUAACUACCUAUGUAGGUCCCAUACAGUUAAUUAGCCAUAGAAAAAAUAAUCCAGGACUUCCAAAGUAAUGCCAAUGGUCUAUAAUCUCAUCACAUUACAAUGCGAAUCACUUAAUGUACAUGGAUUUUAGGAGACUCAUUUGGGAUCUUUAAAUCCUAAUCAGCUCUUUAUUAGGAUAUUUGGGAAGUUAAAUAAUCAGGCUGUUUUCCACUAAACUAGACGAGGCUAGUGUGUUUUCAAAUAUCAAUUAAAAGGUGACAUGAGAUAAGCCUUUUAGAUUACUGUUGUUUUUCCUGGUUAUUGGCCUAAAAGAAAUAGAAAGUUUAUGUCAAUGUCGAAAGAAUACCUACCAGUUAAACUAUUAUUCAUACCUACAGUGUGUUCAUUAUUUAACAAUUUCCAAUAUAACUUAGUCUUUUGACUUAGCUUUUUUUAGUUUAGGAGGCCUUAAUAUUUGAUAACUGGUUCAGUGUCACCAAAUGGUUUCUUUACAUAAAAGUAAUUUUAUAUGAUAGACACAUAAGUCAUCCUUAUAUCCUCUUCACUGUUCCAACUAAAAUGUCUGCAGUAUAAAAAAAUUUACUUGAGAUUUUUUUGCUUUUAUUUUCUUAUCUACUAAAUGGAGUAUAAU